ensembl:misc_RNA 7SK 7SK RNA
GGAUGUGAGGGCGACAUCUGUCACCCCAGCGAUCACCAUGUUGAGUGGCUGAUCUGGCUGGCUAGGGGUGUCCCCUUCCUGCCUCGCUGCUCCACAUGCGUUCCUCCUGAAGCUGUGUGUUUGGUCCAAGAGGACGACCAUCCCCGCCGCAGAGGACUGGUCUUCAGUCAAGGUGUACAAGUAGCUGUGCUCCCCGCUAGAACCUCCAAACAAGCACUCAAAUGCUGGGACAAUAGUUUCCUUCUUGGCAUUGUAGUUAUGUCAUGAUAACCACAGCAAAGCAUAGUGACAGAGUCUUGGAGAAGACUUUUUUUUUUUU